AUUGAACGCUGGCGGCAGGCCUAACACAUGCAAGUCGAACGAGUGGCGGACGGGUGAGUAAUGUCUGGGAAACUGCCUUAUGGAGGGGGAAAACUACUGGAAACGGUCGCUAAUACCGCAUACUAUCGGAUGUGCCCAGAUGGGAUGAGCUAGUAGGUGGUGUAAGGGCUCACCGAGGCCACGCUCCCGAGCUGGUCUGAGAGGAUGACCAGCCACACUGGAACUGAGACACGGUCCAGACUCCUACGGGAGGCAGCAGUGGGGAAUAUUGCACAAUUGGCGCAAGCCUGAUGCAGCCAUGCCGCGUGUAUGAAGAAGGCCUUCGGGUUGUAAAGUACUUUCAGCGGGGAGGCGUUACCCGCAGAAGAAGCACCGGCUAACUCCGUGCCAGCCGCCGCGGUAAUAC
rnacentral:rRNA from 1 species